AGAACGAACGCUGGCGGCAUGCCUAAUACAUGCAAGUCGAACGAAGGCUUCGGCCUUAGUGGCGCACGGGUGCGUAACGCGUGGGAAUCUGCCCCUUGGUUCGGAAUAACAGUUGGAAACGACUGCUAAUACCGGAUGAUGACGAAAGUCCAAAGAUUUAUCGCCAAGGGAUGAGCCCGCGUAGGAUUAGCUAGUUGGUGAGGUAAAGGCUCACCAAGGCGACGAUCCUUAGCUGGUCUGAGAGGAUGAUCAGCCACACUGGGACUGAGACACGGCCCAGACUCCGUACGGGAGGCAGCAGUAGGGAAUAUUGGACAAGUGGGACGAAAGCCUGACUCCAGCAAUCG
rnacentral:rRNA from 1 species